CCCGCUGCCCGCCCCGCCACCCGGGCUUGUGCGGACGUGUCUCGGGCGUGACCUUUGAGCAGCUGCGCCACCGGCUCAGCCUCGCGGCGGGGGAAACCCGAGCUCCCAACAAAACGGUUCCAUCUUUGGCUAGGCCUUUGAUGUUAUGUGGUCAACAGGGACUGAGGCUCUUUAAGCCCUUAAAUCUCUAAGGGCUAAAUCUCCUUCCUGAUAUUCGCCCCCAAACCGGCACCAAAGAAGGCCCAGAGAGGUUUAACAACUUCCUCAGAAUCACACAGCUUCCAAAUGGUUGGGUUGGGUUUACAUUUAGGCGGUCUUGCUCCAGAGCCAGUGCUCCUAACCUUUGCAAGCCACGAACCUCAAGAAAGUGGAGAAGGAAACGCUGGGAAAUCUGGAAGUCAGACAUGGCAAGUUUUUCUCACUGUAAGAAGAGGACAAUAGCCUAUGAUCUACAGUGCCCAUUCCAACUCAGAGAAUCUUUACAUCUGGAGAUCUAUAGCAGGGCUAUCCCUAGUGACAUGCGUGAAGAAGCUUGGAAAUGGUGCUGGGUAGGAGCUGAGUGUGCAGAAUGUGGAAAGGCAUUCUAAACCAAAGGAAGAACACGAGUAAAGAUGAUGAAGCAGGGAUAAGGCUAAAAUGAAAUUUGUGAUCUGAUCCACAUACAAGCACAGUGUAGUACAGCUGGAAUAUAGAGAAGAGCUUGAAGACUUAUGAGCAACUAUCCCGGUACUCUUGGAGGCUCUGCAACCACAGUUUGAGAAACUCCGCGUUCAAAGUUAAAAACUGUCACCUGAAUAGUUAAUAACAUCAAAGAUUGUGAAAGCAAGUAUAAAUAACACAGAGAUUAAAAUAAUGAGGCAGGAUCAGAAAGGAUUAUUUUCAGACCUCAUGAAGCUGCUGGCUUAUAGAACAGGAGUCUUUCUGUUGGCAGCCAGGAGAGAUACAAGAGGGGGAGGACAGAUUCUGCAGCUCCAUUUCGUCCUUGGAACAGGAGAAAGGGUUGGAAAACAAAGAUCACUUUUCUCUGGCCAAAUGGAAUCACCCAACAAAGUACCUUCCUGAUGGGCCAGCUAUUUCAGAUGAUGA
ensembl:lncRNA LINC02028 long intergenic non-protein coding RNA 2028